GAGGAUGUGCGUCUAAGGAGCUGGGAGCAAAGUAUGCAAGGACCUGAGAGUGAGAGGUGUGCUGUGGAGGACUAAGGUUACAGUGUUAUCAGACA